GUGAAUCAUCGAAUCUUUGAACGCAUAUUGCGCUCUUUGGUAUUCCGAAGAGCAUGCUUGUUUGAGUAUCAGUAAACACCUCAAAGCUUUUGAUUUUUUUUGAAAGCUUUGGACUUGAGCAAUCCCAACACCAAUCUUUUUCAGAUCGGCGGCGGGUUGCUUGAAAUGCAGGUGCAGCUGGACAUUCUCCUGAGCUAAAAGCAUAUUCAUUUAGUCCCGUCAAACGGAUUAUUACUUUUGCUGCAGCUAACAUAAAGGGAGUUUGACCGUAUUGGCUGACUGAUGCAGGAUUUCACAAGGGUCGGCAACGAUUCUUGUUAAACUCGAUCUCAAAUCAAGUAAGACUACCCGCUGAACUUAAGCAUAUCAAUAAGCGGAGGA
rnacentral:misc_RNA from 1 species